UACGGAGGGUGCGAGCGUUAUCCGGAUUUACUGGGUUUAAAGGGUGCGUAGGCGGGAUAUUAAGUCAGUGGUGAAAUCUUGUCGCUUAACGAUAAAACUGCCAUUGAUACUGAUAUUCUUGAAUUAGGUUGAGGUUAGCGGAAUGUGACAUGUAGCGGUGAAAUGCAUAGAUAUGUCAUGGAACACCAAUUGCGAAGGCAGCUAGCUGGGCUUAUAUUGACGCUGAGGCACGAAAGCGUGGGUAGCGAAC
rnacentral:rRNA from 1 species